CUCCAUUGUUCACAUCCUGGUCCUGGGCAAUGGAGCGGUCACAUAUUGUCUGCAGCCAAAAUGGCAACCUAUUCUCCCUAUGGACCCUGGACAACAGUAGUGCACUAUAUAGUGAAUAGGGCGCCAUUUCAGAUGAAUCCAUUGUUAAAGAACGACUGCCCCAAAAAAACAAAUAAUCUCUUUGAAAACAGCCUAUGUGGCUUCGAUAUGAGUCAGAAACAUUUAUUCUUAAUAGGAUCAUUUUGUUCAUAACGUCAGUCUCGUCUUAAACGGAGUUUGGAACUGAGUGCGUCACAACGAGUAAAUUAAGGUUAGGUCUGGAUAACAAUUAUGUCUACAAUUCAUGCCCCCUUUUGUCAAGCUCCACGUGCAAAUCGCCCCUCCACCCACUUUGCUUCUCUUUAUUGAAUGGGGCUCCAUUGUUUUAUCGCGUUCAAAGGAUCAGACCGUUUGAGACUGAAAAGGCCUAUACAGAUUGACAAUGCCUCUGGCUCCGGUUCAACAAUGCAUGCUUCCAGUAAGAUGAACAGCCAGCUAUGGUUUGCAUGUCCUGCUGAAGGACCCUACCAUGCGGAAUAGGUGGUUGGAGUUGGUUCCCAAUGGUGAUUUGGCUUGGAAACAUAAUACUGAUCCCCGGUCGUGAACGGAUGCCGGGACCUACCAGAAGGAACAAAGCUUGUCAGGCAAUACCUCAGAAUAAAAGUGUGUCAUGCGAGUACGAGUCUCCCUCGACUCCUAUGAAAAGGACACACCAUCAUGAGGCCUCAUAGUGACCCGAGUUACUGCCCUGAUGACACAGACAGCUCCAUCAACACAGUGUUCAUUUCAUCAACAAAAAUAGUGGCGAACAAAUUUGUUAAAAACCUAUUUUUCAGUGGCAAUUGACGAGACGAUAACAUACUAGAUAGACACACAAAAAACUAUAACUAAACAAAAAAUCUUUUUAAUUUCGGUUGAAAAAAACGAGAAGAGACUAAAUUAUCUCUGUAACCAAAAUCUGACUAGUAAGUGGACUGUACAAGAGUUUUUGGAGAAAUUGAGAGCUUUUCAGUGUUAUUAAUUUGGUCCAAUCAAAAGCAUGCAUGAAAUUAGCAAAAUUGUAAGGCUUUCUCACUGCAAUGUUUCAAUGCUGCUAUUGGAAAAUAAAUACAAUGCCCGGGUCAUUCACGAAUCACGUCUCUGCUGGUUGUUCUCCAAUCUGUC
rnacentral:lncRNA from 1 species